rnacentral:rRNA from 1 species
AAAAGAGCUUGCUCCUUGGGUGGCGAGUGCGGACGGGUGAGGAAUACAUCGGAAUCUACUUUUUCGUGGGGGAUAACGUAGGGAAACUUACGCUAAUACCGCAUACGACCUACGGGUGAAAGCAGGGGACCUUCGGGCCUUGCGCGAUUGAAUGAGCCGAUGUCGGAUUAGCUAGUUGGCGGGGUAAAGGCCCACCAAGGCGACGAUCCGUAGCUGGUCUGAGAGGAUGAUCAGCCACACUGGAACUGAGACACGGUCCAGACUCCUACGGGAGGCAGCAGUGGGGAAUAUUGGACAAUGGGCGCAAGCCUGAUCCAGCCAUACCGCGUGGGUGAAGAAGGCCUUCGGGUUGUAAAGCCCUUUUGUUGGGAAAGAAAUCCAGCCGGCUAAUACCUGGUUGGGAUGACGGUACCCAAAGAAUAAGCACCGGCUAACUUCGUGCCAGCAGCCGCGGUAAUACGAAGGGUGCAAGCGUUACUCGGAAUUACUGGGCGUAAAGCGUGCGUAGGUGGUUGUUUAAGUCUGUUGUGAAAGCCCUGGGCUCAACCUGGGAACUGCAGUGGAAACUGGACAACUAGAGUGUGGUAGAGGGUAGCGGAAUUCCCGGUGUAGCAGUGAAAUGCGUAGAGAUCGGGAGGAACAUCCAUGGCGAAGGCAGCUACCUGGACCAACACUGACACUGAGGCACGAAAGCGUGGGAGCAAACGAA